GCUGGUAGCGGUGAUGACUCUUUCCCCGUCAGAGCGACAGUGUUGACUAUAGCUGUCCAAGCCAGGUCGUGUCUGACGCACCAGC